UACGGAAGGCAGCAGUGGGGAAUAUUGCACAAUGGGCGCAAGCCUGAUGCAGCCAUGCCGCGUGUAUGAAGAAGGCCUUCGGGUUGUAAAGUACUUUCAGUCGUGAGGAAGGUGUUAAGGUUAAUAACCUUAGCAAUUGACGUUAGCGACAGAAGAAGCACCGGCUAACUCCGUGCCAGCAGCCGCGGUAAUACGGAGGGUGCGAGCGUUAAUCGGAAUUACUGGGCGUAAAGGGCACGCAGGCGGUUAAUUAAGUUGGAUGUGAAAUCCCCGGGCUUAACCUGGGAAUGGCAUUCAAGACUGGUUAGCUAGAGUCUUGUAGAGGGGGUAGAAUUCCAUGUGUAGCGGUGAAAUGCGUAGAGAUGUGGAGGAAUACCGGUGGCGAAAGGCGGCCCCUGGGACAAAGACUGACGCUCAUGUGCGAAAGCGUGGGGAGCAAAACAGGAUUAGAUACC
rnacentral:rRNA from 1 species